ACAAGUGGUCGUGGCGAGAGAAGUGGCAGAUGAGGGAAACGAGUUACAAAUAAUACCCCCAUGGGAUAUCCCAUGUUAUUUGCCGUGGCCAUUCCCCUGGCCACGACCAUGGCCAUGCCCUCCUCCACGACCACGACCACGACCACGACCUCGACCGCGCCCAUGCCCACCGCCACCUCCUCCACCAUGUCCUCCACCACCUCCACCUCCGCGCUCACCACCACCUCCACCUCCGCGCUCGCCACCGCCUCCACCACCAAGAUCACCCCCUCCUACACCGUUUUCGGGGUGCUCUAUUAGUGACCAACAAAAGGUGAAGAAAUGCAUGUUCAACACAACUUCAAUUGAUGCAUGUUGUCCGACAUUCAAGAGCAUACUUGGCACUAGUUGUCCUUGCUAUAAGUAUGCUGAGGAUUUAGACAAUCAAGUCUUGAUCACUCUUGAAGCUUAUUGUGAUGUCGAUAGCCCUUGUAGUGGUGUGCCGGUAAGUUAUUGUUUUUAGCCAUCUUUUAAUUAAGAUCGUUGACACGUACUUUAAGAAAAUUACUGUCUACAAUCAUUUUUAUAAAAUUCUACUAUUUGAGUAUAUGGGAACAUUUUCUUGAAAGGGUGGAAGUACUCAAGAAUUAAAAAAUUUAUAUUUGCUUAAUUUUUUUUAAAUGAUAAAUAUUUUGAUACGAUAUUUUAGCUAAUGUGACUAAUAAAAGUGACUAAAAGAGUAUGUGAAGUAAUUAUUUCAUAUUUAUGAAUACAGAGUCCCCCUCCUCCGGUGACUCCCACCCCGUUUUCGGAUAGUUGCUCAGCUAGUGACAAAGAAAAAGUGAAGACGUGCAUGUUCAACACAACUUCAAUUGACGCAUGCUGCCCAAUAUUCAAGAGCAUACUUGGCACUAGUUGUCCUUGCUAUAAGUAUGCUGAGGAUUUGGAUAAUCUAACCUUGAUCACUCUUGAAUCUUAUUGUGAUGUCGAUAGCCCUUGUACUGGUUUGCGUGCAAGUAA
rnacentral:lncRNA from 1 species